AUAAAUACACUGGCAUACUGUUGUUAAUAUCGAUUGAUUGCCUCGGGCAUAUGCAAAGGAACUUAAAAAAAAGAGCUUGGAGUGGAUGGAGUUUUUCUGUGGUUUUCCCGUGAAACCAACCACGAGGGAAACUUUCCUUUGCUUUUCCUCUAGGCAGCUAGUGUGAUCCGAAUGAUACGAAAAGGAAAAAUUCCUGUGAACAGUAUUCCUUCAAAAAUCCAACGGAAAUCCUGUAAUCCGAAUAGGUUCAAGUUCAUAAUAUAAAUAGCUCCAGGGCUUGUAUCAGGUAGCACCGUUCACUUCCCUUCCUCUUUCUGUUUGCUCAUCAAAAGAAGCUUGCUUGCAUCAAUUUUUGGAGAAUUAGCUUGGUCAUCAUUUAGCCAACACAGGCACACAGCUAUACAUCACCACUUGCUCCUGGAACAAUAAGGUUAGCACUUGUUCAAGUUGUGCAAUAAAAUCGUUAGUUUUCAUAGGAAAUGUUAUGAUUUUUACUCUCUUAACUCAAAUUCACAACCCUAAUCACUAAUCAAUGGACCAACCUCCGCGUCCGAAGCCUGCUGUCCUGCGGCAAGCCUAGAACCAAAUACAUGCGGCCUGCUUGUACUCUACAGCCAAGAUCUAUGAAAAAAAAACAAAAGGGACAAAAGUCUGCAUAUACCACUGCAAGAGGAUGCACAGACCUGCAAUAAACGAGUCUCAUCGAUCCCUGCGGCCACUCGUCCCGUCGUGGCCGAUUCCCACCGCCGCUUGUCCCCUCCUCCCAGGUCCUCGCCGAUCCUCGCCGCUCGUCCCGUCCUCCUCCUCGUCGAUGCCGCAUACGGCAACAGCUGAGGCGAAGGUGCCUGCUACUGGUAGGAUGAGGUCUUGGAGAGAUUCAGACUGCGGAGAGAGAGAGGGAUUGAUACGCA
rnacentral:lncRNA from 1 species